CGUGUAGGCGGGCCAGCACGUCGGUCGCUGAAAUCCCCCGGCUUAACCGGGGAACGGGCGCCGAUACGACUGGCCUGGAGGGAGGUAGGGGGAGCCGGAACUCACGGUGGAGCGGUGAAAUGCGUUGAGAUCGUGAGGAACGCCCGUGGCGAAAGCGGGCUCCUGGACCUCGCCUGACGCUGAGACGCGAAAGCCAGGGGAGCGAACG
rnacentral:rRNA from 1 species